rnacentral:rRNA from 1 species
CGCGUAGGCGGUUUGCUAAGUCAGAUGUGAAAGCCCAUGGCUUAACCAUGGACGUGCAUUUGAAACUGGCAGACUUGAGUAUUGGAGGGGGUGGUGGAAUUCCCGGUGUAGAGGUGAAAUUCGUAGAUAUCGGGAGGAAUACCGGUGGCGAAGGCGACCACCUGGCCAAAUACUGACGCUAAGGUGCGAAAGCGUGGGGAGCAAACA